UAAUACGUAGGAGGCAAGCGUUAUCCGGAAUUACUGGGCGUAAAGGGCGUCUAGGUGGUUCGGAAAGCGGGGUGUGAAAGCUCUCGGCUCAACUGAGAGAGUGCGCUCCGAACUAGCGGACUAGAGGGCAGGCGACGCAGGUGGAAUACCCGGUGGAGUGGUGAAAUGCGUAGAGAUCGGGUGGAACACCAGUGGCGAAGGCGGCCUGCGAGCCUGCAACUGACACUGAAGCGCGACAGCGUGGGGAGCAAACGGGAUUAGAUACCCCGGUAGUCCACGCCGUAAACGAUGGUGACUAGGUGUGUGGGGCGAUAACCCGCCCUGCGUGCCGCAGCUAACGCGCUAAGUCACCCGCCUGGGGAGUACGGCCGCAAGGCUA
rnacentral:rRNA from 1 species